GACGAACGCUGGCGGCGUGCUUAACACAUGCAAGUCGAACGGUAAGGCCCUUCGGGGUACACGAGUGGCGAACUGGUGAGUAACACGUGGGUGAUCUGCCCUGCACUUCGGGAUAAGCCUGGGAAACUGGGUCUGAUACCGGAUAGGACCCUGGGAUGCAUGUCCUGGGGUGGAAAGCUUUUGCGGUGUGGGAUGGGCCCGCGGCCUAUCAGCUUGUUGGUGGGGUGAUGGCCUACCAAGGCGACGACGGGUAGCCGGCCUGAGAGGGUGACCGGCCAUACUGGGACUGAGAUACGGCCCAGACUCCUACGGGAGGCAGCAGUGGGGAAUAUUGCACAAUGGGCGCAAGCCUGAUGCAGCGACGCCGCGUGAGGGAUGACGGCCUUCGGGUUGUAAACCUCCUUCAGCACCGACGAAGCGCAAGUGACGGUAGGUGCAGAAGAAGGACCGGCCAACUACGUGCCAGCAGCCGCGGUAA
rnacentral:rRNA from 1 species